ACAUACGACCACAGACUGAGGAGCAUUGGGCAUCCCGUCCGCUCUGCCAUACACAAGCCUCAGAUCGGUAGAUUAGUAGUUGAGUAGGUGACUAUCAGCGAAUUCCUACUGUUGUAUGCU
rnacentral:rRNA from 1 species